rnacentral:rRNA from 1 species
CAAUAAGCGGAGGAAAAGAAACCAACGGGGACUCCCUUAGUAACGGCGAGCGAAAAGGGAUCAGCCCAGCUUGUAAAUCUCCAGCGCAUGCUGGCGAAUUGUAGUCUGGAGAAGCGCCUCCUGGAGUUCGAGCUGCCCAAGCAUCUUGGAAUGGAUCGCCCGAGAGGGUGAGAGCCCCGUAGGCGGCUCUGUCCUCCAGCACGGAGCGCUUUCGUAGAGUCGGGUUGUUUGGGAAUGCAGCCCCAAUUGGGUGGUAAACCCCAUCUAAGGCUAAAUACCUGUGGGAGACCGAUAGCAAAAAAGUACCUCGAGGGAACGAUGAAAAGACCGCUGGCAAGCGAGUGAAAGAGUGCAUGAAAUUGUGCAGUGGGAAGGGAUGGCCUGGCACACCGCCCUUGGGUAUACGCGGCUCAUUGAGCCGUUGAAUACACCAGGGCCUGUUGGUGCCGAUACCCGUGCUUGCAUAUCCCCAAACUAGGGUGUUUGGCUUUCCAAGCGCGGGUGUUGAGGUUGAUCGUUGCUCUGUUAAAAUCUGCUUCGACAUAGCACCAACUGAAGCCUGUCCAUCUA